rnacentral:sRNA from 1 species
UACAUAACAGGCCGCAGUGAGUUGUGA